CAGUCGCCGCGGGAAUACGAAGGGGGCUAGCGUUGCUCGGAAUUACUGGGCGUAAAGGGAGCGUAGGCGGGUCGUUUAGUCAGAGGUGAAAUCCCGGGGCUCAACCUCGGAACUGCCUUUGAUACUGGCGACCUUGAGUAUGGGAGAGGUGAGUGGAACUCCGAGUGUAGAGGUGAAAUUCGUAGAUAUUCGGAAGAACACCAGUGGCGAAAGCGACUCACUGGCCCAUUACUGACGCUGAGGCUCGAAAGCGUGGGGAGCAAACAGGAUUAGAUACCCGUGUAGUCCCUGUCUCUUAUAC
rnacentral:rRNA from 1 species